ACCCUAAUUUCUCGAAUAAGGACAAAGAGAUAAAACGGAGUUCUCUCCGACGGUUUUAACAUUUGUUGGAGUUCUAACCUUUAUUAUAAUGAUCGUAGGUAUACAAGUAUUUGGAAAUUUUCUCACCGUUGCUGCUUUGUAUAAAUGCCCGAAAGUUCGAAACGUAGCCGCCGCUUUACAUAUAAUUAACAUGGCAUUUAUGUUCGCUAUAGGAAUAGAUUUACAAAAACAGUUUAUAACUUUAAUAAUAUAAGUUAAGUCGACUUAACUAAAUUGUUUACAACCUCAUUCAAUAAGUGUGUGUAAUAAUCUUGAAACAAUAAAUACUGUACUCGAGCUAUUUUA